AUGGAAGAUGUGGCACGGAUGAUGAAGGGGUUGAAGCUGUCGGAGGAGGAAAGAAAAGGGGUUAGGUUUAGGAUCACGGCGAAGGAGAAGGGGAAGUACAUGGAGGCAAAGGUGGUGGGGAAGAUCAUGUCGGAGAAACCUGCACAGCCAGAUGCGAUCCGUCUAUCCUUAGGGAAGGUGUGGUGCCCGAUCAAGGGCAUAGAGUGCAAGGAAGCGGGCGCCAACAAGUUUGUCUUCACAUUUCUUCAAGAGUCCGGGAAGCGGAAGGCGUUGGAGAACGGGCCUUGGAUGUUUGACAAGGAGCUCGUGGUGGUGGAGGAUUUCGAACCGAGCAAGAGGAUGGAAGACUAUGAAUUCAACAAUAUACCUAUCUGGAUUAGGGUCUUCAACCUCCCACUGGGCAUGAUGAAUAUAGAGUCGGCUGAAGAUAUUGGAAAUCUAGUUGGGACGUUCGUGGAGGCGGAUACGGGUGCAGAUGGAACGGCCAUAGGGAGGUUUUUGAGGGUCAAGAUCAGGAUGAGAAUUGACAAGCCGAUCAUGAGGGGCUUUAUUCUUGAGGAACAAGGGGGGGGGGGAGAAGAACCAGAGGAAGAAUGUGACGGAGGUGGGCAGGUUGGAGGAGGAGGAUGGCUGGUGCAGAUUUGA
rnacentral:rRNA from 1 species